GGAUGGAGACGCGCGCACGAUUUCUCUCAUGCGAAACGAGAAGAGAGGAGAAAAGAUCAUGGCGGCGCCGUCGGAACCCGAGCGACCAGACCUCUCAGCGUUCAUCUCUAUUUAUCUAUCUAUCUACGUGCUAAGGUAAUAGGACAGGAUCUAAGGCUGGAUCGUCUGAUAAUUUCGCCAUUAUACGAAUAGCUUCAUCCACUUAAGGAUAAAGGAAUGAAGCUUUGCCAACUAUGCACUUUUUUUACUGCACUGCACAGAACUGCACUGAUACGCUAGGAUAGGAAUCACGGAACAAUUACACAGCCUUGCGUUAGACGACUCUAGCUUACUCGGCCUUGAUGGCCAUUAAAUGUCACAUGCUUCGUAUAUCUGACACGCUUCAAUAUGACGUAAAAAGGAUCCGUUUAUUCACGAAGAAUAAGAAUAGAGAUAAAUAAUAACUUUUUUCAAACGAAAGACAGAACAUUAUUUACGCAA